GGGAGUGAGUGAGAGAAAAAGACACAAAUAAGAGGGAGAGUCAAAUAUUUUUUGUCUAAUUUUUGUUCUAGGAUAACGAGCUAAUUAAGAAUCCUUUAUUUUUUUACCUAAUCGCUCUUUUGAUUUUGGAAAAAAUAUCUUUAUCAAUAUACUAUUUCUUUUACAUAUUUAUCGCUAUCCCAAAAUACCAAAAGAUAAUGGCAAAUAGUUAUAUAGUUAGGACUCAUAAAAAACAUAACCCAUUUACCAGAAAAGCUUUUCCCACAUCAAGCACUAACCUAUUUUUAACAUACAAUUAGAUGGGGUAAUGAUCCAAAUAAAAAAGAAACGAAAGCUCGAUGCUGAUCGGCUUCAAAUUUUGAGAAGUGGGGAAGUUCGGAACACUCAAGGCCGAGAGAGAAGAAUGAAGAGAGAGAAGAAUGAAGAGAGAGAAGAAUGAAGAGAGAGAAGAAUGAAGAGAGAGAAGAAUNGAGAGAGAAGAAUGAAGAGAGAGAAGAAUGAAGAGAGAGAAGAAUGAAGAGAGAGAAGAAUGAAGAGAGAGAAGAAUUUAAGUUUAUGGGGGAGUUUGUUGGGAUAAACUUAGAAUUUAAGUUUAUGGGGGAGUUUGUUGGAAUAAACUUAGAAUUUAAGUUUAUGGGGGAGUUUGUUGGAAUAAACUUAAAUUUUAGAGAUUUAUUAUUUUAUUAGGUUUGGGUAUAGUAAUAUUUGGUUUGAUUUGAUAGAGAUAAAAGAGGAAUGGGUAGUUAUGAUUUUGUGUUUAUUAGGUAGAAUAUUAUUUUAUGAUAGAAUAAGGAGAUUUUAUUUUUAGAAAG
rnacentral:lncRNA from 1 species